GCAGAUUUAAAAAACAAUCGUUUAAACACAAAAAGGAUUAUGUUGAUGGGCCAAUGACCAGGGGACGCUUUGAUCUGACUGGGCAUCAUGAUGCUACACGGAACCGAUUAAAGCACCUACAAGGACAUACAAUUAUUUGCACAUCAAGAGAAGAGAUGGUGGUUUUAUCAGCAGUAGAAGAAUUGACCGACACUGAACAAGUGAACUCAUCGGGUUGCUUCCCAGCUCACUUAGCACAGAAGUCAUGUGCAUCCUCAAGUGGAUUGAUUUCCUUACAACAAUCUAGAGACCUCUGAAUUGAUAACUCCACUGUGACCACCCUUUACCUCCUUCUCAAAGUACACUAGCAAAAAGAAUCACCACCAGAUACAACGGACGCACUCCGCAGAUUGAAACAUACUCACCUGGAGGAUGACAUGCUAUGACAUGGGAUGUAGAAUCUCUCUACACAUCUAUUAGACAUGAUGAUGGCCUCCAAGCGGUGGAAGUUUCUUCUUGAGCUUUUGAGAUUUGCCCUUACCCAUUAUUUCUUCUUGUUCAAACAAAAUAUAUAGCUCCAAUUGCAAGGGACUGCAAUGGGGGCUGCUUGUGCACCCUCAUACACUAAUUUGUUUUUAGGAGCUUGGGUACGAUCAAUAUUCCUAUCUUAUCCCCCCCCCCCCCUUAUUGAUAGAGAAGGUGCACAUGUGGGAAGGUAUAUUAAUGAUGCUAUAUUUGUUUGGAAAGGUUCCUAGGAGGACUUGCAGACUUUCAUUGACUAGUUGAAUCACAAUGAAUUGAAUACCAAAUUGACAUACAAAGCCGGUAGACAUGGAUUUUUUGGAUAUAUCCUUUAGUUUGGAUGACAAGGGAUGAGUCCAGUCAAAUUUAUUCCAGAAACCUCCUUCGACUUAUUCCUUAUUGCAUGCUCAGUUGGCCCAUCCUACAAAGUUUUUAGAAUUAAGACAUAUUUGCUCCACAGAGGAAACAUUUGAAAAUCGUGCUCAGGAGUUGUGGAACCGAUUUUAUGAAAGAGAAUAUAAGGAGACGUGGAUCCACAGGACGUACUUUAGAGCCAAACAUACAAAACGUGAGACCAUUCUUUAACAGUGGAUGAGACCUAGAGCAAAUGUUCAGCGGAUCACGAUCCUUCAAGAUUAUUCACACCAUCUCAUGUAUUACAAUGGGAGUGAUAUACCAUGCCAUCUGUCCUAGUGGACUCAUAUGUAGGGGUGACAAGAGAAUUGAGAAGGAGAAUAAGAGAACAUGUCCUUGGAAUCCAAGCUUCAGAGGAGGAAGAUGAUAUUUCCCACCUUACCCAGACCAUUUCAGACUACAUCAUAACAGUGAUCCUUGAGGAUUUAUGGUUUCGGUUUAUCAGCCACCAGUUUCCAUUUUUGGAUGCCAUCUAUUUGUGCCACCAUCUCUGCUCUUAUAUUUGCAUGUGCCCCUUUUUUCCUUCUUUUCUUUUCCUUUUUUUUUCUUUUUAAUGCAUACCUUCAGAUUUCUUUAUUAUUAUAGGCAGUGUUACUGUGCACGGGUAUUUUAGCGUUCUGUUCUUACUUCUAUGCAGUCCAUCAGGGUGCCGUACCAGUUAGGGUGCUGUUUACUAAAUAUUUUAGCACUUUUUUGAUCUGUAUAAGGUUAAUACUAACCCUUUUUAAUUUCUUCUACUAUACUAUGGGGGUUAUAUGAUGCCCCUUGAUGAAUUACACUUACCUUUUUAGUAUGCUUUUUAUGUAUCUCCCAUUUUAUCUAAAAAAAAAAAAUGUAUGAUAUAUCAUUUUUAUUUAUUUUUCAUAAAUACUUGAACACUUUAUUUCUUCCACCCAUUUAUUCCCCUAUUUUUUACUCCCUGGUAUUUUUUUUAUAUAUUAUAGUGAAUCAGACCACUAUUUAUUGUCUAACUACAAAAGAAAAAAAGAAGAACCAAGAGCAAUUGCUACUGAA